GGGCACAUGGUGUAGUUGGUUAUCACGCUCGCUUAGCAUUAAAUUGAUGGAAUUGCGAGAGGUGUUGGGUUCAAUUCCCAAUGCGUCCA